UACGGAGUGUGCAAGCGUUAUUCGGAAUCACUGGGCUUAAGGAGUCCGUAGGCGGCAUGUUAGGUGAGGUGUGAAAUCCCCCGGCUCAACCGAGGAAUUGCGCUUCAAACCGGCGUGCUUGAGGAAGAUAGAGGUGGGCGGAACUGAUGGUGGAGCGGUGAAAUGCGUUGAUAUCAUCAGGAACACCGGAGGCGAAGGCGGCCCACUGGGUCUUUUCUGACGCUGAGGGACGAAAGCUAGGGGAGCGAACGGG
rnacentral:rRNA from 1 species